rnacentral:rRNA from 1 species
CACUGCUCUGACGGAUGCUUUUAUUAGACCAAGCCGCUGAGGACUUGAGGGCUUGCUCUCCUGUCUGACUCGUGUAAUGGUGACUCUGGAUAACCAAAUUUCUGACAAGCGCACGUACUUCUCUUCUGAGCGAGACGGCGCUGCCACUUUCGAGUGUCUGCCUUAUCAGCUAUCAACCGUUCGUUAUGCGCGACCGAUGGCUUUGACGGGUAACGGGGAAUCAGGGUUCGAUUCCGGAGAGGCAGCCUGAGAGACGGCUACCACGUCCAAGGACGGCAGCAGGCACGCAAAUUACCCAAUCCCAGCAAAUGGGGGAGGUAGUGACGAAAUCUAACGAUGCGGGCGCCCUUUCUGGGGCCCCGCAAUCGGAAUGGGCACUUUCUAAACAACCUGUUGAGAACCUACUGAAGGGCAAGUCUGGUGCCAGCAGCCGCGGUAAUUCCAGCUUCAGCAGCAUCUAUUAAAGUUGCUGCGGUUAAAAGGCUCGCAGUUGAAUGUCUGUAUCGAGCGCAGGUCAGGUGGACGUUGGGGCGUGGAAGUACGGGCAGUUGGAUGUCCGGAGGGCCUUCGUGCUCAACGGCUCCUUCGGCUUUUCCACACACCCCCGUCCGUGACAAGCCUCCUCGCUCGGGUACAUAACGGGAAUCGGUCAAACGGAGUGUGGUCGGGGGUUGGGGCGCGUGGCCUCGGUUGCGUGUCUCUUCUUUCGGCUGCGUUAAGCUCCAUCGGUUUCACGGUCACCUUGAGUAAAUCAGAGUGCUCAAAGCAGUCGUAGGGGCCUUGCGCCCUGUGAACAGUCUUGACGGACUGACUUGGUUUUGCAUGGCAUGUCGGAAGACGACGUCGUGUGCUGGCUCAGAGGAUAAAUCAGUGGUACAAGCCAGCCUCGACGUAAUGAUUAAAAGGGACGGUCGAGGGCAUUGGUAUUGCGAGGCGAGAGGUGAAAUUCUGUGACCCCCGCAAGACCUCCUGAAGCGAAAGCGUCUGCCAAGGACGUUUUCAUUAAUCAUGAACGAAAGUUAGAGGAUCGAAGGCGAUCAGAUACCGCCCUAGUUCUAACCCUAAACGAUGCCAACCAUCAAUCCGCGCGUAGCACCCUUCUUAACGGGCUCGGCGGGCAGCUCCCCACUCACGGGAAACCAGAGCCUCUGGGUUCCGGGGGGAGUCUGGUUGCAAAGCUGAAACUUAAAGGAAUUGACGGAAAGGCACCACCAGGCGUGGAGCCUGCGGCUUAAUUUGACUCAACACGGGCCAUCUCACCAGGCCAGCACUCUUGUACGAUUGACAGAUUGAGAGCUCUCUCGAUUCAGUGGAUGGUGGUGCAUGGCCGUUCUUAGUUGGUGGAGUGAUCUGUCUGGUUAAUUCCGAUAACGAACGAGACUCUCCCCUGCUAACUAGUCGGUUGGAUCUUGAUCAGCGGGUUGCGUGCCGAGUAACUCUCGCUGUGCGUGGUGCGUAGCUGGGCCUCACGGUUCGUUGCGUGCUCGCGUGGCGUUGGAUGCCUUGGAUUACACUGCACCCCAAGUCCGCCGCUUAUGCUAUAACUCUUCUUAGAGGGAUUCACGGCACUGAAGCCGUAAGAGACUGAGAGCAAUAACAGGUCUGUGAUGCCCUUAGAUGCUCUGGGCCGCACGCGCGCUACAAUGCCGGGCACAGCAGGUGUUUCUCCUUCUCCGACAGGAGCGGGUAACCCCUCUGAAAGCCAGUGUUCUUGCAAGUGCUUCCUCCCUCGUGGAGUUGCACAGAGGCGUGCUUGGGCCUGGGACUUGCAAUUCUUUCCCACCAACGAGGAAUGCCUAGUA